AACAACAACAACAACAACAACAACAACAACUUCUUGUCCCAAUGAGGAAUUCUUCUUCUUUCUCUCUUCCCCAUACUCCCUCUUCUGCUCUGG
rnacentral:ribozyme from 1 species